rnacentral:rRNA from 1 species
UACAGAGGUCUCAAGCGUUUGUUCGGAUUCAUUGGGCGUAAAGGGUGCGUAGGCGGCGCGGUAAGUCGGGUGUGAAAUCUCGGAGCUUAACUCCGAAACUGCAUUCGAUACUGCCGUGCUUGAGGACUGGAGAGGAGACUGGAAUUUACGGUGUAGCGGUGAAAUGCGUAGAUAUUGUAAGGAAGACCAGUGGCGAAGGCGGGUCUCUGGACAGUUCCUGACGCUGAGGCACGAAGGUCAGGGGGAGCAAAACGGGG